CAGACUUUUGUGCCGGAACCACAGCUUCCAUUCCAGUGCCACCAUUACUGCCAGCAGGCAAAGCAGGAGCAGCUGUGCAGGCCUGGCCUUGAUUAUGGAUUGGAUGAGGGUGAACAGACUGAGUUUCAAUCAUGACAAGAUGGAUAUGUUGUUUUAAGGAUCCCUCAUCAGCUGGUGACCCCGACGUGAUCCUCCAGCUCCCAUCAGCCGAGCCGACAUUCUUCUGAUGUAGGUUCAGCUCCCAUUCACCCUGCUUCCCUCGACUGGAAUAGUCUUCGUGCACCCAGCCCACGGGCUCCCCGGGUAAGUAUGGGUUGCUUAUCUACUAAAGAGCAGCAUCAGAAUGCUGAAGAGUUAAUUGUGAGGCAAAAUGACGGAUGGCAAGUAUCAGGCAAAGAAUUAAUGGAACAGGAGCAACACGCUCGAGAGCUAAGUAGGCUCGUUCAGCAGAAUUG